GCGGUGGAUGAUGUGGAUUAAUUCGAUGCAACGCGAAAACCUUACCUACCCUUGACAUGUCCGGAAUCCCGAAGAGAUUUGGGAGUGCUCGCAAGAGAACCGGAACACAGGUGCUGCAUGGCUGUCGUCAGCUCGUGUCGUGAGAUGUUGGGUUAAGUCCCGCAACGAGCGCAACCCUUGUCAUUAGUUGCCAUCAUUUGGUUGGGCACUCUAAUGAGACUGCCGGUGACAAACCGGAGGAAGGUGGGGAUGACGUCAAGUCCUCAUGGCCCUUAUGGGUAGGGCUUCACACGUCAUACAAUGGCUGGUACAAAGGGUUGCCAACCCGCGAGGGGGAGCCAAUCCCAUAAAGCCAGUCGUAGUCCGGAUCGUAGUCUGCAACUCGACUACGUGAAGUCGGAAUCGCUAGUAAUCGUGGAUCAGAAUGUCACGGUGAAUACGUUCCCGGGUCUU
rnacentral:rRNA from 1 species